rnacentral:rRNA from 1 species
UACGUAGGCAGCGAGCGUUGUUCGGAGUUACUGGGCGUAAAGCGCGCGUAGGCGGUUUUGUAAGUCGGGUGUGAAAUCCCCAAGCUUAACUUGGGAACUGCAUUCGAGACUGCAUAGCUAGAGUAUGGGAGAGGGAAGUGGAAUUUCAGGUGUAGCGGUGAAAUGCGUAGAUAUCUGAAGGAACAUCAGUGGCGAAAGCGACUUCCUGGACCAAUACUGACGCUCAUGUGCGAAAGCGUGGGGAGCAACAGG